rnacentral:lncRNA from 1 species
CUGUCUCAAAAGUAUACAAUAUAUUUUGCAAGUAAGAUUUAGGUCUGAGAAGUUUCCUAGUCAUUUAAAUGUAGGGUUUCAGUCACAACGAAAACAAAAGGGUGUCAACCAAGAAAACAUAUGACACCCAAUUUACUAUGACCAAAUUGCUGCUUUUUUCUUGUGAUGAAGUUCACCCAAUUGAAGAGAUGGCAACUGAUCAAUGACAAAUCCACCCACUUUCUCCCACCGCGGCUCAACGCAUGGCAAGAAGGUGAAAUCCCCUGCACCCGGCCAAGAACAAGAGUGAUUAGCCCACAACCAGCCAAUAGAGAAGGAUGACAGGGUGGUCACCUUUGAUACUUUGGGGCUUAAAGUAUCUGCCGAGAUCUUCCCAUGUAGCUUUAAGACUUUAUAACAAC